rnacentral:rRNA from 1 species
GCCGUUAAGUCUUGACGAGUAAGAGGGUCGCGACGGUGAGCGCAGAAGGGUCAGGGCGAGAGCCUGCCUGGAGCCGCCGUUGGUGCAGAUCUUGGUGGUAGUAGCAAAUACUCUAGCGAGGGCCUGGAGGACUGACGUGGAGAAGGGUUUCUUGUGAACAGCCGUUGCACAAGAGUCAGUCGACCCUGAGCCCUAGGAGAAAUCCGAUGACGAUGGGUGGCUUGACAACACAACAAUCCACAGACUGUUUUUAGCGUGAACUGACUGUUGAGUAAGUUUGACACUAAACAGCUCCUAUCGGGCAAAAGGGAAUCCGGUUCCUAUUCCGGAACCCGGCUGCGUAACCGCUACUUUGCGGGCACUUGCUUGCGAGCGCUCGUCGGGGUAACCCAAACUGGCCUGGAGACGCCGGCGGGGGGUCUGGAAAGAGUUUUCUUUUCUUUAUAAGCGUUCGAGUACCCUGGAAUCCUAUAGCAGGGAGAUAGGGUUUGGAACGCGAAGAGCACCGCAGUUGCGGCGGUGUUCGGACCUUCCCCCCGGACCUUGAAAAUCCAGGUGAGGGCCACGCGGAAGUCGCGCCGG